CUCCUCAGUAGCAGGAUUAACUUUUAUCCGGUUGGCUAGCCCCUUUCCUCCGGAGCUGCCAGAGUUGGGAGGUUUGUUAACUUUUGUUGUAUAUAUCUUUAUGGGUAGGCUGGGGCCCUGUCCCACCAAUCUUUACUACUCUUAGAGGCUUGCAGACUAGUGUGUGGGGUUUAUAGCUACGUUAUGGCCAUGCUGGCCUAUGUUGUUGGUUUGCGGAAGCUUGUGAGCUAUUUGAUGUAUUGU
rnacentral:lncRNA from 1 species